rnacentral:misc_RNA from 1 species
GAUGAAGAACGUAGCGAAAUGCGAUAAGUAAUGUGAAUUGCAGAAUUCAGUGAAUCAUCGAAUCUUUGAACGCACAUUGCGCCCCCUGGUAUUCCGGGGGGCAUGCCUGUCCGAGCGUCAUUACAACCCUCAAGCUCAGCUUGGUGUUGGGCCCCGCCGCCCCGGCGGGCCCUAAAGUCAGUGGCGGUGCCGUCCGGCUCCGAGCGUAGUAAUUCUUCUCGCUCUGGAGGUCCGGUCGUGUGCUCGCCAGCAACCCCCAAUUUUUUUCAGGUUGACCUCGGAUCAGGUAGGGAUACCCGCUGAACUUAAGCAUAUAAUAAGCGGAGGA